rnacentral:rRNA from 1 species
GACGAACGCUGGCGGCGUGCUUAACACAUGCAAGUCGAACGGAAAGGCCCUGCUUUUGUGGGGUGCUCGAGUGGCGAACGGGUGAGUAACACGUGAGUAACCUGCCCUUGACUUUGGGAUAACUUCAGGAAACUGGGGCUAAUACCGGAUAGGAGCUCCUGCUGCAUGGUGGGGGUUGGAAAGUUUCGGCGGUUGGGGAUGGACUCGCGGCUUAUCAGCUUGUUGGUGGGGUAGUGGCUUACCAAGGCUUUGACGGGUAGCCGGCCUGAGAGGGUGACCGGCCACAUUGGGACUGAGAUACGGCCCAGACUCCUACGGGAGGCAGCAGUGGGGAAUAUUGCACAAUGGGCGGAAGCCUGAUGCAGCAACGCCGCGUGCGGGAUGACGGCCUUCGGGUUGUAAACCGCUUUCGCCUGUGACGAAGCGUGAGUGACGGUAAUGGGUAAAGAAGCACCGGCUAACUACGUGCCAGCAGCCGCGGUGAUACGUAGGGUGCGAGCGUUGUCCGGAUUUAUUGGGCGUAAAGGGCUCGUAGGUGGUUGAUCGCGUCGGAAGUGUAAUCUUGGGGCUUAACCCUGAGCGUGCUUUCGAUACGGGUUGACUUGAGGAAGGUAGGGGAGAAUGGAAUUCCUGGUGGAGCGGUGGAAUGCGCAGAUAUCAGGAGGAACACCAGUGGCGAAGGCGGUUCUCUGGGCCUUUCCUGACGCUGAGGAGCGAAAGCGUGGGGAGCGAACAGGCUUAGAUACCCUGGUAGUCCACGCUGUAAACGGUGGGUACUAGGUGUGGGGUCCAUUCCACGGGUUCCGUGCCGUAGCUAACGCUUUAAGUACCCCGCCUGGGGAGUACGGCCGCAAGGCUAAAACUCAAAGGAAUUGACGGGGCCCCGCACAAGCGGCGGAGCAUGCGGAUUAAUUCGAUGCAACGCGUAGAACCUUACCUGGGUUUGACAUGGAUCGGGAGUGCUCAGAGAUGGGUGUGCCUCUUUUGGGGUCGGUUCACAGGUGGUGCAUGGCUGUCGUCAGCUCGUGUCAUGAGAUGUUGGGUUAAGUCCCGCAACGAGCGCAACCCUUGUUCACUGUUGCCAGCACGUUAUGGUGGGGACUCAGUGGAGACCGCCGGGGUCAACUCGGAGGAAGGUGGGGAUGACGUCAAGUCAUCAUGCCCCUUAUGUCCAGGGCUUCACGCAUGCUACAAUGGCUGGUACAGAGAGUGGCGAGCCUGUGAGGGUGAGCGAAUCUCGGAAAGCCGGUCUCAGUUCGGAUUGGGGUCUGCAACUCGACCUCGUGAAGUCGGAGUCGCUAGUAAUCGCAGAUCAGCAACGCUGCGGUGAAUACGUUCCCGGG